AGUGAGAAAAUACAUAAUCAAAAAUUGUUCUUUUGUUUGUUCCAGGCCUCUAACAGUUGGAAGGAAUUAAAAAUCGGAUUUGUUGACAGGAGGUUCUACACCAAAAUUAAAUUUAUUAAGACAGGAAGACAGCGAUAAACUCCUCCAAUGAUGUAAACUCAUGGGCUCUACUCCAGAAAAACAAAAAUGGUUCACCACUUAGUAAGCUGGUCAAAUGGAGUCGCCACAUACUCCAAGAGAUGCAACUCGGCCUCCGGGGAUACUGGAUCUGCAGGCUGCUCCUCGCCCCCCUCAACGUUGAUCUCUGC